rnacentral:rRNA from 1 species
UGAGGAAUAUUGCACAAUGGGCGAAAGCCUGAUGCAGCGACGCCGCGUGGAGGAUGAAGGUUUUCGGAUUGUAAACUCCUGUUAAGUGGGAAAAAAGACCGGUUAUGAAUAAGAAUCGGGGAUGAUGGUACCACUAAAGAAAGCACCGGCUAACUUCGUGCCAGCAGCCGCGGUAAUACGAGGGGUGCAAACGUUAUUCGGAAUCAUUGGGCGUAAAGGGUGCGUAGAUGGCACAUUAAGUCAAUUAUUAAAUCUUUUGGCCUAACCAAAAGCUUGUGGUUGAGACUGUUGUGCUAGAGGGUGGAAGAGAGAAGUGGAAUUCUCGGAGUAGCGGUAAAAUGCGUAGAUCUCGAGAGGAACACCGAUGGCGAAGGCAGCUUCUUGGUCCACACCUGACAUUGAGGCACGAAAGCGUGGGGAGCAAACA